rnacentral:misc_RNA from 1 species
GAUGAAGAACGUAGCGAAAUGUGAUACUUGGUGUGAAUUGCAGAAUCCCGUGAACCAUCGAGUCUUUGAACGCAAGUUGCGCCCGAAGCCACUAGGCCGAGGGCACGCCUGCCUGGGCGUCACACGUCGUUGCCCCCCCAUCUACUCCUUCGGGAUUGCGGGGGGGCGGAUGAUGGCCUCCCGUGCGCCUAGCCGCGCGGUUGGCAUAAAUACCAAGUCCUCGGCGACGCACGCCACGACAAUCGGUGGUUGCGAAACCUCGGUUGCCCGUCGUGUGCGUUCGUCGCGCAUCGAGGGCUCGAAAAAAUGCUCGGCUCCGGCUGGGCUUUCAACGCGACCCCAGGUCAGGCGGGGUUACCCGCUGAAUUUAAGCAUAUCAAUAAGCGGAGGA